rnacentral:lncRNA from 13 species
ACUUCGGGUCAACAUGCAGCUAACUAAAGAAACCAAUCUCAAGCGAACCACUGAUAUCAGCCCUGUGUGUAUUUUGUAAUAUUAUAGGGGGCUGUGAAGGGAGGGACUGUGAAGGGAGACCAGAGCCAAUCAAAAGACGAAGGGAGUUGGUCUUCUUGAUAUCUUGGCAAGAUCGACAGAUCAUGCUUCUUACAGUGCUACAACGUGGCGCCUGUGAAGUUUUGUAUAGGAUUCCGAAUAGCAAUGAUCAAGUUGAGCGCUCCAGAGAACCCUUCGUUAUUAUUUGCGUCAACCCAGACGUAAUUUAGAGACAAGACAAGGUUCUCGUUCUGCUGGGGUAACGGACCAAGACUGGCAGUGAGAAGUUGUCCGACGUCAGAGACUACUCCCCCAAGUGCACAGCGCGACGUAGAGGGCACACCGUGAUGGAGAAGCCUCCAUUGCCUAGCGAUGAGGAGGGCACUAGGAUGGGAGAGAGUCGGUCGGAGGCGGAGCUCCUGGACUUGGGAGUGCAGGGGACCUCCGGGGGCGUGGCGUCGUCUGGGGAUGCAGACGACCGCCCGGCGUGGGACAGCAAGCUGCAGUAUGUACUGGCUCAGGUGGGCUUCAGCGUGGGCUUGGGGAACGUAUGGAGGUUCCCCUACCUCUGCCAUCAGAAUGGAGGAGGCGCAUUCAUGGUUCUCUAUGUCAUGCUGUUGUUGGUGGUGGGGGUUCCCCUGUUCUUCAUGGAGCUGGCUGCGGGCCAGUGUAUCCGUCAGGGCAGCAUCGGUGUGUGGAAGCACAUCUCCCCUNNNNNNNNNNAGGUUUUCCUACUUACAAAGCAUGUAGAGGUCUGUAAUAUUUAUCAUAGGUACACUGAGAGACAGAAUCUAAAACAAAAAUCCAGAAAAUCACAUUGUAUGAUUUUUAAGUAAUGAAUUUGCACGAGAAUUUUCAAUCCCAAUGAUAAUAACUAACAAUUAUUAAAGCUUUGA